AAGGCAGGGAUUGUGUGUAUCGACUCGUGCAGAAAUUACAGUGCACACAGAUCGAAAGAGUUCCCUGCAAAAUUGAGAGAUGGGGAAGAUGGGCAGUUGUGUUUCGGAAAAAUUGGUCGAAAUCUUCAACAAUCAUCUUCCCCACAUUC